rnacentral:lncRNA from 1 species
AUGCGCCGGCCGCCGCGGCGGACUGCGCCUGUGCACCGCGCGGCGGCUUUCCAGUUGCCUGGUUACGGCCAGCUGCGGCUCAGGGUUCCGGUUCUGCCCGGGAAGUUUGUUUCGGUCCGCGCCCGGCCCUCGGGAAACAGACCCCUGGGAGCCGUCCAGGGGGCAGGCCCCGGCCCGGGCUACGCCGCCCCGCCCCCUCCCCUGCGCGGCCGCUACCGCGGCGCACGCCCCGCCGCGUCCGUCGAUGCCCCGGGUCCCCAAGCCGCGGGGACGAAAGCCAGGGCUGCGUGCGGCCUUCCGCAGCCGUUGAGCGGAAAUCAAGGUCCCAACCUAUUUCGACACAGUGAGAGAUCGUGUGCUGGAACUCGGCCCCGGACCCUGCCGCCCUUGAUUCACUUCCUCCUGCGGUCACUUUGUCCCAACAAUCCGCUCCACAGAGACAGAAGUCACUGUGAACCCCCCUGAAAGGAGGAAACAGAGGCAAAGGUGCAGGGGCCCAUCCCCACCUCCCCACUGCUAGGCCUCUGGAAUGGAGGCCCUUGGGUCCUUGGCUGUUCGGAGCCUGGUGUGCAGAAGGGUCUAGGCCCCCAGCGGAGCCAGAGGUGGUGGAGGCUGGGCUCUGAGUCGCAGGUCCUCCACUUUAAGCUUCCUUGCCCUCCCUUACCAUCGUGGCCUCAUCAGCCUAGAGUCCAGGCGGGGUGGAGCACCUAAACAACAUGCUGUUGAUGCAUGCACCAGAACAGCAGGCAUGAGCUUGACUGUCCUGGGCCAGUCAGGGGCAAAUGGGCAUAGGGUGACUCUGGCUGAAGAGCACAUGAGGCCUGUGCAGGGGGGCGAAGGGUGCACUGCCACGACAGCUGCUGCUGUGCCUGAGGAGUCGUCCAUCCCUUUACCUGCAGCAUGUCCCUCUCCUUUCUUUUUGUCCUCCCUGGCUGGUGGAGGCUGCAUACAAAUGCCGCCACCUCCCUGAAACCCGCCUACAGGGGCUAGAGUCAGCCUCUUUCCUGAGGGCAAAGUUAUUAGUUGCUCAUGCAAAGUUCCGUAACCAGAGCUGUAGUCCUGUGACCCAGAGCACCCGGACACAGGGCUACGUACUUCCAGGACAAUGGACAGAGGCUGUGCCAGGGAGCAGGGCUGUCCUUUCCAGCAUCACGGCAGUCUGUCACGCUGCAUUUUCAACAGCACAAUCGUCAGCCCCUCCCAGUAGCCUGCACUGUCCAAAGAUGGCUGCCACUGGGCACCUGCAAGGGAGGCCGGGCUGAGCAGAGGUGGGAUCUUAGCAGCAUUAGAGGCCAGAGUGCCAAGAAUGUCAACUAGCCCACUGAUAGCUUUCUUUAAAAAAAAAAAAAAAAAAAAAAGAUUCAUUUAUUUAUGAGAGACACAGAAAAAGAGAAAGAGAGAAGCAGGGACACAGGCAGAGGGGAAAAAAAGGCUCCAUGCAAGGAGUCCAACAUGGGACUCGAUCCCAGGACUCCAGGAUCAUGCCCUGGGCCCAAGGCAGGCACCAAGCUGCUGAGCCACCCAGGGAUCCCCUUCACUGGUAGCUUUCUAUUGCAUGUUGAAGUGGUGAUAUUUGGGGUAUAUUGAGUUAAAUGUACUAUUAAAAUUUAUUUCAUCUGUUUCCCUUUUUUAAUGGAGCUCAUCAGAAGUUUAAAAUUCCAUACAUGCUGGGCAUAUUGCCAUUGGACAGCGCUGGCCUAGACAGCACAUGGAGGGAGGGGGUCGGGGACCCCAGGCAGCGGCCCCAGCCUGGGGCUAUAACUCCCUAGAUUAUGGAUCUGACAACUGACCGUUUCGGUGACUGGAGAAGGAGCCCUCGGAGGGGUGGCCGCAGUCUCAGUGUCUGAGCCUCUGCCCCUUGCUUCCCCAGGGCAUAAAGUAGCUGCAGUUGAGGGGUCUGCAAGUGGAUGUUUAUAGGACAGUCCUGCUCCACACUGGGCACUCCCCUGAGUCAAGCCUUCAGCCCUGGGUGCUGAGACUGGGGGCGUCGGAGGGGGCUUGCUUGAUUCAGCCUGGAGAGAGCAAGGUGUGCCUCCAUGCAACAGGACUGGCUGAGUUGUCCAGGGAAAAAGUGCAUUGGGGCCUCAGAGAUGGAAAAAGCUGGCAGGGAGGGCUUCUGGAAGAGGAAGGAGGCCAUAUAGCUGAGGAGGUCCAAAUGGAGAGGAGGGGCCGUCAGCUCCUUCAGGAGAGGGCAGGUCAGGGGGGCAGAGAGAGUGAGGUGUUCAAGCCUGUCCCGUGGCCCCUGUGCAUCGGGCUCCCAUGGUGUGGAGAGUUGUCGGUGGUGUGUGACCAGGCUGAAUGUAAGGAGAGAGAGGUGCCUCCAUGGAGCCGGCUGGGGUACAAUCCAGCCCCCUGGGGCGCCUUUCGAGAGAAAAUCCACACCCGGGCUGAGCUUGAAGAAUGUCCCCACCAUCAGCGUCCUCAUUAGCUCUCAUCUCCAGCACCUGCAAACAUGCAUGGCACCUGCAAGCCUCAGAUAAUUCUUUUUUUCCUUAAGCAAUGAACCAAGUACUAAACAUGUAAGGUGACACAUAAGUGAGAGGAGUGUCCUAGAAGCACAGGAGGGAUGCCAUUUCCACGUGAGUCAGGCCACAGAGAAUCAGAGCCACAUGAGAAAGUGAUUUGUAUUUCAUUAGCUGCCGCCAGGCCCUGGAAAAAAACCGAGACCUCUUUCACAAAACUGUACAGUCAUUUGCUGAGCCCCUACUGCACGCCAGGCACCGCUAGGAGCUGGAACUGUGGCUGUGGGACUGCUAGGCCGGCCCCUGCCCCAGGGACCGUGUACUCUGAGCAGCUGCCAAUGCACCCAGUGGGGGUGGGGGGGGCAUGGGAGCACCUGUAAGAUCUGGAUCCCACCUGCGGGUGACAGAGUAGAGCCCGGGACAGAGGAAAAGGAGCAUUUGUGGCUGAAGCAAGCAGAAGCUUGUGUAGGAGCAGCAAGGGGCGGAAAUCCUUAGGUGGGUGGUGGCAUCAGGCGGUUAUGCGUUGCCCAGGGCUCUGCAGGCUCUGCACUAGAUUUCUGAGGGCAAGGAAGCUCUUGGGAGCUCCCACCAGGAAAGACAUGGUCAGUUUGGCCUCCCUCUGGCUCUGGCAGGGCGCUAACAAGACCCGGGAGCCCAGGAGGGGGCCUUGGGGCCCCAGGGGAGCAGUCAGGCUGCUAGACCGGACUGGCAGGGAGAGCUGAGCCUCGGUGACUCAGAUGCCAGCGGCAUCUGCAGCCACCCCACCACCACCACAUCAGCCGAAGUAACAGGAGGGCGUGAGCCCUGAGCAUGGACUCAUCCGCAAGCAUGGGGGCUUGCGGAUUGGGAAGGCAGAAAGGCCACGGUGGAGCACCAAGUGCCAGGCUGGCUGCAGCACUGACUCCUGGGCGUCCGAGUUCCCGUCUGGAAAGUGUGUGACCGAGCCACAGAGGCCCCUUGAGUGGUUGUGAGAACGUGGACCAGGGAACCAUACCACCCUGGCUCAAAUGGGUGCACCUGGGGAAGCGGGCCUGUCUCUUUGAGCCUCAGCCUCCCCAUCUGUAAAACGGGACAAUAACGCCAAUAACACGGUGACUGGGCGACCUUGAGACAGUUGUGAACUGCAGGUGUGAAUGAUGGAAAUCCCCGCGGGAGCACCUGCUGGCCGAGGGGGCACUGGCAGGAACCUGCCAGCAGGGGGGGCAGAGAGCCGCCUCCCAUUGGAGACCCGGUCUGGGGACUUCGGGCUUCAGAGGCUCCUGCAGGAUCUGGGCCUUGGCUGCAGGAUCAAAGAUUCGGGCUUCCCCCCCAACACCCCCAGACUGGGGCCCUUUACAGGGGGAGUAUUUCCGGACUCCUUACACCCCUGGACAGCAGGCGUUGUUCUGUUCACACAACAGGUGCUCCAUAAAUCCUCCAAGUUGAGCUCGAUGCUGCCACAGAGGCAGGGAACGUGUGUUUUUCAAGCUGUGUGCUCAGUGGUUUCAUCCUCACAGCCCAGGGGCUGGGAAUUGUUUCUUUUCCAUAAAGAAUACCUAUAAUGCGCAUUGCCCUGCAUCACCUUCACCAGGUGUGGCCAGCAGCCUUCCCUUUUCUCCACCGGAAGACAAGGAAACAGGGCAAAGAGCAAGUCACUUAUGUAAAGUUAUACCUUUCGAUGGCUCAGGUUUUAUUUUAUUUUAUUAUUUAAAGAUUUUAUUUAUUUAUUCAUGAGAGACACAGGCAGAGACACAGGCAGAGGGAGAAGCAGGCUUCAUGCAGGGAACCCCGAUACAGAACUCGAUCCCAGGACCCCAGGAUCACGCCCUGGGCUGAAGGCAGAUGCUCAGCCGCUGAGCCACCCAGGCGGCCUGUCAAUUACAGGUUGAGAUGCUAAUGUUCCAGAUAUAUUGGAUUAUCUAAAACAUAUAAGCUUUUUCUUGUUUCUUUUCACUUUUUUAAAAUGUGGCUACUGAGAUGUUUAGCACUGCGUUUGUGGCUUGUGUCACACUUGUUACACUUUCGCUGGAAGGUGCAGCUCUGAAUCACCCCUCGAGGUGCUGAACAAAGUUAUCCCCCUCCCCCGCCCUGUCCCUCCACCCAGUUCAAACAAGUUGUCCCGAAGGAAGGAAGCCCAGGGGUGGGGGGAACUGGGCCUGCAGCUCUGCUGUAGGUGUCAUGUGCUUUGUGUUGCUGGGCCCAAGUCUCCAGAGGAGGGACAGGGGCUCCAGGUAUGUGCCUGGCCAGCCGGCUGGGGCUGCUGGGGCUGCUAGGGCCCCUGGGGAAUGGCUCUGGCACCUGGAGGUGAGACCCAGCACCCUUGGCUGGUCGGCUAGGGCUGCCUUAACCAAGCCCCACAGACUGGGUGGCUCAACAGAAACUAAUUCCCUCACAUCCGGGAGGCUGGACAUUUGAGCAGGGCAGGCCUGUUUCCUCCCAAGGCCUCCCUCCCGCGUUUGCAGAUGGCCAUGUCCUCCCGCAACCCACCUGGUGGCCCCCGUGUGUGUGUCUGUGUUCUUUUUUUAUAAGGACAGGCGUCAGGCUGGAUUGGGAUGUACUCCCAGCCUCCCGUUACCCUGAUUAGCACUAUAGACACCACGUCUCCCAAUAAGCCACAUACCAAGGUCCUGGAACCUCAGGUCUCAAAACAGAAAUUCUGGGGGGAGGGGACACAAUUCAGCUGGAACAGGCCCCCUAAGUCAGGGGGAGGCCUGUGGUGUCUAGUGGGGCCUCCUAGGGGUGGGGACUGGCUGAGCCCGCCAGCCCAGGGCAUACAUUGAGGAACCACAGGGCAGAGGGACCACAGGGCAGAGGGAGAGCCUGACGGUGGUGGGGACUCUGCAGCCAGGGCAGGGGAGCAGCUCUGGGCCCCAGGGGACACUGGCUGGGAGUCUCAGAGCCAGGUGG